GUGGGGAAUAUUGCACAAUGGGCGAAAGCCUGAUGCAGCGACGCCGCGUGAAGGAUGAAGUAUUUCGGUAUGUAAACUUCUAUCAGCAGGGAAGAAAAUGACGGUACCUGACUAAGAAGCCCCGGCUAACUACGUGCCAGCAGCCGCGGUAAUACGUAGGGGGCAAGCGUUAUCCGGAUUUACUGGGUGUAAAGGGAGCGUAGACGGCUUGGCAAGUCUGAAGUGAAAGGCAUGGGCUCAACCUGUGGACUGCUUUGGAAACUGUCAUGCUAGAGUGUCGGAGAGGUAAGCGGAAUUCCUAGUGUAGCGGUGAAAUGCGUAGAUAUUAGGAGGAACACCAGUGGCGAAGGCGGCUUACUGGACGAUGACUGACGUUGAGGCUCGAAAGCGUGGGGAGCAAACAGGAUUAGAAACCCUAGUAGUCC
rnacentral:rRNA from 1 species